rnacentral:rRNA from 1 species
GAUGAACGCUGGCGGCGUGCCUAAUACAUGCAAGUCGAGCGAACAGACGAGGAGCUUGCUCCUUUGACGUUAGCGGCGGACGGGUGAGUAACACGUGGGUAACCUACCUAUAAGACUGGGAUAACUUCGGGAAACCGGAGCUAAUACCGGAUAAUAUUUCGAACCGCAUGGUUCGAUAGUGAAAGAUGGCUUUGCUAUCACUUAUAGAUGGACCUGCGCCGUAUUAGCUAGUUGGUAAGGUAACGGCUUACCAAGGCAACGAUACGUAGCCGACCUGAGAGGGUGAUCGGCCACACUGGAACUGAGACACGGUCCAGACUCCUACGGGAGGCAGCAGUAGGGAAUCUUCCGCAAAGGGCGAAAGCCUGACGGAGCAACGCCGCGUGAGUGAUGAAGGUCUUCGGAUCGUAAAACUCUGUUAUUAGGGAAGAACAAACGUGUAAGUAACUGUGCACGUCUUGACGGUACCUAAUCAGAAAGCCACGGCUGACUACGUG